AUGCCACUUACAAAAUUGAAUCUUCAAUUAUUUUUCCAAAUCACUCUUCCAAACCUUUCAUGUUCCUUUCAUUUAAUGUGCACGGUUAUAACAAGCAGUAACAAAAUUACGAUUCCCACAAACUUUGUAUUCCAUAUUCCAUCUGUAACUAUUCCGCCCUCCAUUAAUGUAUUCGAUAGUUUCAAAAGAUGUUUGAAGGUGGAUGGAACCAGAUCACCUUGCAGUUUGGGUGAAGGAAUACAAGGU